AAAUGAAUAGACGGGGACCCGCACAAGCAGCGGAGCAUGUGGUUUAAUUCGAAGCAACGCGAAGAACCUUACCAAGACUUGACAUCUAUAUGACCGCCUUCGAAAAAGGGCUUCUCUUCGGAGCAUAUAGACAGGUGGUGCACGGUUGUCGUCAGCUCGUGUCGUGAGAUGUUUGGUUAAGUCCAGCAACGAGCGCAACCCUUAUCACUAGUUGCCAGUAUUAAGUUAGGAACUCUAGUGAGACUGCCGUAGAUAAUACGGAGGAAGGUGGGGAUGACGUCAAAUCAUCAUGCCCCUUACGUCUUGGGCUACACACGUGCUACAAUGGCUAUUACAAAGAGCAGCAAUAUGGUAACAUUGAGCGAAUCUCACAAAAAUAGUCUCAGUUCGGAUUGUGGGCUGCAACUCGCCCACAUGAAGUCGGAGUUGCUAGUAAUCCCGAAUCAGAACGUCGGGGUGAAUGCGUUCCCGGGUCUUGUACACACCGCCCGU
rnacentral:rRNA from 1 species